rnacentral:rRNA from 1 species
AUGAACGCUGGCGGCGUGCCUAAUACAUGCAAGUCGAGCGAACAGACGAGGAGCUUGCUCCUCUGACGUUAGCGGCGGACGGGUGAGUAACACGUGGAUAACCUACCUAUAAGACUGGGAUAACUUCGGGAAACCGGAGCUAAUACCGGAUAAUAUAUUGAACCGCAUGGUUCAAUAGUGAAAGACGGUUUUGCUGUCACUUAUAGAUGGAUCCGCGCCGCAUUAGCUAGUUGGUAAGGUAACGGCUUACCAAGGCGACGAUGCGUAGCCGACCUGAGAGGGUGAUCGGCCACACUGGAACUGAGACACGGUCCAGACUCCUACGGGAGGCAGCAGUAGGGAAUCUUCCGCAAUGGUCGAAAGCCUGACGGAGCAACGCCGCGUGAGUGAUGAAGGUCUUCGGAUCGUAAAACUCUGUUAUUAGGGAAGAACAAAUGUGUAAGUAACUAUGCACGUCUUGACGGUACCUAAUCAGAAAGCCACGGCUAACUACGUG